GCGGAUGUGGCGGAAUUGGUAGACGCGCACGGUUCAGGUCCGUGUGCCCGCAAGGGCGUGGAGGUUCAAGUCCUCUCAUCCGCA
rnacentral:tRNA from 1 species